GUGGGGAAUUUUGGACAAUGGGCGCAAGCCUGAUCCAGCAAUGCCGCGUGCAGGAAGAAGGCCUUCGGGUUGUAAACUGCUUUUGUACGGAACGAAACGGUCCGGGUUAAUACCCUGGGCUAAUGACGGUACCGUAAGAAUAAGCACCGGCUAACUACGUGCCAGCAGCCGCGGUAAUACGUAGGGUGCAAGCGUUAGUCGGAAUUACUGGGCGUAAAGCGUGCGCAGGCGGUUUUGUAAGACAGGCGUGAAAUCCCCGGGCUCAACCUGGGAAUUGCGCUUGUGACUGCAAGGCUGGAGUGCGGCAGAGGGGGAUGGAAUUCCGCGUGUAGCAGUGAAAUGCGUAGAUAUGCGGAGGAACACCGAUGGCGAAGGCAAUCCCCUGGGCCUGCACUGACGCUCAUGCACGAAAGCGUGGGGAGCAAACAGGAUUAGAAACCCCUGUAGUCC
rnacentral:rRNA from 1 species